rnacentral:lncRNA from 1 species
CAUCGUAUGCUAUGCUCCUUCUGACCUGAGAUCUGCUCAAGAUAGCCUCUUAUGGUAAUAGAAAUUUACCCUAUGAUAUCACCUCUCAUCCUUUCAAGUCUCGCAUAUCAUGUCCGAUCCACCUCCACCUAGAGCUCCACCUCACUAUGGGCUCUUCCUGGCUCUUGAAGCACCACCUCACACAAGGCUCCCCACUAGAUAGUAGUGUCCUCUCGUUCUC